rnacentral:rRNA from 2 species
CAGUCGACGAACUCUGGUAUUGAUUGGUGCUUGCAUCAUGAUUUACAUUUGAGUGAGUGGCGAACUGGUGAGUAACACGUGGGAAACCUGCCCAGAAGCGGGGGAUAACACCUGGAAACAGAUGCUAAUACCGCAUAACAACUUGGACCGCAUGGUCCGAGCUUGAAAGAUGGCUUCGGCUAUCACUUUUGGAUGGUCCCGCGGCGUAUUAGCUAGAUGGUGGGGUAACGGCUCACCAUGGCAAUGAUACGUAGCCGACCUGAGAGGGUAAUCGGCCACAUUGGGACUGAGACACGGCCCAAACUCCUACGGGAGGCAGCAGUAGGGAAUCUUCCACAAUGGACGAAAGUCUGAUGGAGCAACGCCGCGUGAGUGAAGAAGGGUUUCGGCUCGUAAAACUCUGUUGUUAAAGAAGAACAUAUCUGAGAGUAACUGUUCAGGUAUUGACGGUAUUUAACCAGAAAGCCACGGCUAACUACGUGCCAGCAGCCGCGGUAAUACGUAGGUGGCAAGCGUUGUCCGGAUUUAUUGGGCGUAAAGCGAGCGCAGGCGGUUUUUUAAGUCUGAUGUGAAAGCCUUCGGCUCAACCGAAGAAGUGCAUCGGAAACUGGGAAACUUGAGUGCAGAAGAGGACAGUGGAACUCCAUGUGUAGCGGUGAAAUGCGUAGAUAUAUGGAAGAACACCAGUGGCGAAGGCGGCUGUCUGGUCUGUAACUGACGCUGAGGCUCGAAAGUAUGGGUAGCAAACAGGAUUAGAUACCCUGGUAGUCCAUACCGUAAACGAUGAAUGCUAAGUGUUGGAGGGUUUCCGCCCUUCAGUGCUGCAGCUAACGCAUUAAGCAUUCCGCCUGGGGAGUACGGCCGCAAGGCUGAAACUCAAAGGAAUUGACGGGGGCCCGCACAAGCGGUGGAGCAUGUGGUUUAAUUCGAAGCUACGCGAAGAACCUUACCAGGUCUUGACAUACUAUGCAAAUCUAAGAGAUUAGACGUUCCCUUCGGGGACAUGGAUACAGGUGGUGCAUGGUUGUCGUCAGCUCGUGUCGUGAGAUGUUGGGUUAAGUCCCGCAACGAGCGCAACCCUUAUUAUCAGUUGCCAGCAUUAAGUUGGGCACUCUGGUGAGACUGCCGGUGACAAACCGGAGGAAGGUGGGGAUGACGUCAAAUCAUCAUGCCCCUUAUGACCUGGGCUACACACGUGCUACAAUGGAUGGUACAACGAGUUGCGAACUCGCGAGAGUAAGCUAAUCUCUUAAAGCCAUUCUCAGUUCGGAUUGUAGGCUGCAACUCGCCUACAUGAAGUCGGAAUCGCUAGUAAUCGCGGAUCAGCAUGCCGCGGUGAAUACGUUCCCGGGCCUUGUACACACCGCCCGUCACACCAUGAGAGUUUGUAACACCCAAAGUCGGUGGGGUAACCU